AACAGGAUAGUCCGAGGUGAUUUUUUCUUAUUAUUAUAUUUUACUUUUAUUAUUAUUUUUAUUUUUACCUGAGCAGAUGACACCAACAUCCUCAUUGAGUCCACAGUUGUGCCUGCCCCAGCCGGCGUGCCGGCAGUCCCAAAGGUGGGAUUCAGUUCCUCUACACUGCACAUCAUCCAACUGGAUAUUUUUUCCACUGGGGCCAAAGUAAGACAGUCCCAGCACAGAGACAGCUUGGCCACAGUUAAGUUGUCUGCACACAACGUUGGCACUGUUCAUAUUGAAAUAAUCAUCACAGACUGUGCCCCAUUUUCCAUCAUGAUAAACUUCAACCCUCCCAGCGCAUCGGGACCCUCCAGAUUCCAGUCUCAGCUGUGGCUGUGGUGGAACUAAAACAAAAGUUGACAGGGUACAUCCAGACAUCCGGAUGAGGAGAUCCAGCUCACAGAGCCGUUCCAGACUGGCCACCAAGAUCUUUCCAAACACUCCUUGGGCACCUUUGUGGCCCUGUGUUGAUGGUGUGGCUGUUCCAGGAAGCAGGGAUUUACUUUUGGAGAUUAGGCUGUUUGUACAGCUCUAUUUGGAGCCCUGACAUAGGGAUAGAAGGUGACAUGGAAGGAACACGGUUCAAUGCAAAAAUCUUUAGUAUUAAGAAGCAUUAAGAUUUGCUUUUUCAGUGUUCCUCAGUCUCCUUUAUGAAACAGAUCCCAAGGAAGUCCUGCAGAGGGCUAAUCCCGUGUACCAGGAACCAGCAGUGAUGACAGUAGGGCUGACAUUUGUGGUCUUGGAAGAGCAAAGUUGUUUUCCAGAACAUCUUAAAGAAAUCUAUCAAAAUCUGCUCCUAGGAAACAAACAGGGUUUGUAGUGAAAUAGCUUUGGGCUGGAGGUUGGGCAUUAAUCUUUCUUCACAGAGAGAAGUUUUGCUGCACUGGCAGAUCUACCGUCCCUGGAAAUAGCUUUAUUUAGUGUUAUAAAUUCUCUAAGUAUCUUGGCCUGGAG
rnacentral:lncRNA from 1 species